GGUGGCGUGAAGAGGAGAGUCCAACUCAAUUUGGACUCUAGGUUUUCAUUCAAAUUCAAACCAAUUUGAACUCAAAUUUAAACAAACUAAUUUUUAAUUUAAAAAAACUCAAAUGAAAACAUAGAAAAAGCUUCUGGGCAUGAGAAAAAAUCAUAUAAAAUAUUUUUCACGUGAAGAAUAAGAGAGCACAGAUAAAGGAGGUGCAAGGGAUUCAAAUUCG
rnacentral:lncRNA from 1 species